CUCCAACAUUUCCCUCCUUUGAAAGUUCAAAAAUUUUCAUCUCCCUCUCUUUCUUGGAUACCUAUUCAAACACAAAUUAGAAUACUUGUCUUUCUAAUUUCACCAAAACCCAUACAUCUCUUACUCCUACUAUGGCUACGGGUGAAAAGCGGAAGUUCAUGCGAAGCUUAAUCGAUGGCUGUCAAGAGAGCUAUCGAGUUUGGAAAAAGUGGGAGAUGUGCUUCCUCUUUCGCAAGUGCCUAAUGAUGUAGCAAUGGCUUUCAAAAGGGAAAUCGAGUGGCAAACAAAUCACAUGCUUUUACCUUUUAAGAGCUUGUGCGAGCAAAGAAAGGUGCAUGUAGAUGUUGUAGUGAUUGAAUCAGAUGAUGUAGUAACUGCGGUAGCAGAGGAAGUAACUAAGGACGCUUUAACCAAACUUGUCGUUGGAGCUUUGUCUUCUGGUAUUUUCAGAAGUAAACAUAAGGGUAUGCACUCCAACAUUUUGUACGGUUUACGCUGUUUCAAAGGGAAAAUUGUCCAUACGGCAAUCAGACACACAAGUUGAUGGAAGUACUACGGAUAAAUACUACCAUCAUGCAGGAAAAAAUACACUCAUUACAAAAUUCUCCGGGAUCCAUCGAAUAACACUCAUAGGUGGGAAAAGGGUAUUACCUAAUUAAUAUCCGCCUUUACUUCACCUUGUUAAUAGGCUUAACUAAAAGUAUUUUGUCGUUGAUUAACUUGGAAUCUUUUUUGGUGGGAAAAAGGUAUUACCUAAUUAAUAAGCCUUUCUUAUUGUUUUAGUUACUUUUAUCGUGGCCUGUUGAUUAACUUGGAAUCUUUGUCUUUAACAGUUCAAAUAUGGCGUAGAGGUUCGGGACGCUCAUAUGCUGUUGUCCAAAAGUCAUCCACAGGCAAGUUUUCAUCAAUAAUGUAUAUGUCUUGUAUGUGUGUUGGUCGUAUGUCUUAUGUACUUGAUUACAUUGUCUCCAGGAAUGUUUGGUUUGGUUUAGUUAAUAUCUGAAUAUGAUGUUAAUAUUAGGAGCCUAAAACUAACUAUAUAUGAUGGCUUUUAUGCAACUGUCUUAAGUGAUGCAAACUGAUACAAAUAGUAAUAAUCUGCAUGACACUCAACAGAUGAAAAUUAAUGUGGCUGUUUUGAUUGUUAUUACCAAGGAUUAACAAAUUUUCAUUUGUCUUGUAUUUAUCUAGUUUAGUUUUUGAUAGGACAUAAAUCAAUUUGGCAGGAGACUAAAAGCCACCUUGUAGAUAUGUUAUAUUGGUCCCUUAGUUCGUGUUGUUGCUACUUAUUUUCUAUUGCCUAAUCUUAGAAGU